UAUAUAAAACAUCUUCCAUGUACAAAAUGGUAAUUUCUAGCACAAUUUUUAAGAUGGCAUAUGAAGAGUCAGUUAAAAUCUAUAAUUUUUUUGUCAUUUUCUUCCAUUUAUGCCCCUCUCCCCUCACACGGCCUCUCUCUUCUCCCCCAAAAACCUAUCACAUGCCUUCAGUUUCCAAUUGCAAAUGAAGCGUCUUGGCUUCCGGUGGUUUUCAUCGCCCCCUCUGCUCUCUAUAAUACCUAUUCAGAUCGGAGAAAAAGAGAGAGUUGGAGAGAGAGAUGGAGCUACAAACGGAGAAAGAGAGAAUAUGAUGGAUCCGGUCGGUGAUUCCGAUGACCGGUCUACGGCGGUAUAGCCACCACCACGAAAACGUUAGCGACAAAUAGAGUAGUCUUUCGUCACCACGCUUGUUUUCAAACCCUAAUGAUAUUGGCCAAAGGUACGAUUUUCUUCAUCUAUUUUUUAAUCUUCUGAAAAGGUUUAUUUUUCACUGUUAAGGUUUGUUGAAUUGAUGAUCUGAAUCUGCAAUGCGUUUACUUAACAAUGGGCCGACAAGAGAUCAAUUCGUCUCCAAUUUCUACAGGAAAGUGAUCCAAGAUAUCUUAAAACUCAUAAAAUUAGGGUUUGAAAUUUGUGAAAUUGAAAUUAGGCUGAGGUUGGGUACAACGGCUGAGGUGGCGUCUUUGUCGACCACCAGUAUGCCGGUAAAGCCAAUUGGAUUAGGAGAUCAAGACGAAUGAUUAUCGAAAACAACCAAAAUUGGUUAAUGGAAUGGGAGGCUGUAGCGAAAGCAUAUCACAGCUUUUAGUGUAUAUGUGUUAGCAGAAACUUACCCCUAACUUGCCUUAUGUGAAGUCUUUGUUUUAGGUUGGUUUAAGUGGUUGAAGAAUGCAACUUCGUCCAAGCAGGAUUUGUGCAGGGAUAAGCGGAUUAGAGAGGUGUAUGUGCCGCAAUUUGGUCAGUUGCCUGUUGAUAUGAUGACUGGUGGUGAUCAAUGUGGUGCCAGAGUGGUUCAGGCCGAUCUCCAUAUCGGUGAAGCCACUGAGAAUGAGGUUAGUUGUUUCAUAUUUUUAUCUUUUUGUUUAUAGUAGUUUGUUUAUGAUAGUUAGAUGUAACAAAAUGGGCUACAAUACAUUGUGUUUGGAAGUGUUUCAGAUGAUUAACCAUUGGUGAAAAUUUGUUUAAGCAAUUGAGAACACUGGUUGUAUUGGGUCUGCUUAUGCUAGAAUGAUGGUAAAUUCUUGUUGUUCAUUAAGUGUGUUUGGAAGACAUGACCUUGUAAUCGAGGAGUUUACGAAAAAGGCGUUUUGGUCGGUACGUUUUUCUGUAGUUGUCUUUGGAGUCCCGGUGAAGAUUUAAACAUUUUGUGCUUGAAAAACGUAAACCCGGGUUUGCAUUCGAUGCCAAAUCUUGAUCAGGUUCAUGCUCUCAUUGAACAUUACGGGCCCACGUUUUAUUUCCAUCUGGAUGAGAUUUACUUACCGUCUUCUGUACCAUGGUUCUUUGAAAAUGGAGCUUUGUUGUACAAAAGAGGCGAGCCAGAAGGUCACCGGGUUGACCCGUCGGGGUCAAACUUUCCGCAAGGUGGGAGAAACGACGGUGAAUAUUGGAUGGAUUUGCCGAAAGACUCUAUGAAGAAAAAAAUUAAAAAAGGGUAAUUUAGAGCGGGCAAAAGUGUACGUUCAUGUAAAGCCCGCUUUAGGUGGAACGUUCACCGGUAUUCAGAUGUGGGUUUUCUGCCCGUUUAACGGGGCGGGCUGUUUGAAGAUCGGGCUCAUGAAUUGCCAGCUUAGUACAGUCGGGAAACAUGUGGGCGAUUGGGAACACGUUGCGCUUUAUUUAAUACCCAAUGUAGUUUUCCAACUUCCAAAGCAAGUAGUUCAAAUAUUAUGCUGCUAUACUGACUGACGACAUGCUAGCCCCUUGCAUCUUGCAGCUUUGACUUCGUAGGGUUGGAACAACUAGAACAUGUUGUUUGAGUUGAACGGGUCAGGGAACAAAGUGGAAAAGCUUUGUGAUCUUGCAAACAUCACAGUGAAUAAGCAUUAUGUGUAUGGUGACAACAGCGCUUAGGCCCGGGAGGUGUUCGUAUUGGUAUAUUUUUAACUAUGACCAGGUUUUUAUAAGAGACUUUGUGCCGAGUGCUUUGGCCUUUAUGAUGAACGGGGAGUCCGAAAUAGUAAAGAAUUUUCUUUUAAAAGCAGUUUUACUCCAAUCCCGAGAGAAAAAGGUAGACAAAUUCAAGUUAGGAGAAGGGGCAAUGCCUGCAAGUUUUAAAGUGCUUCACGAUCCAGUUAGGAACACAGAAACCAAACCAUAUUGGCUGAUUAUCGUGAAAGUGCCAUUGGUUUGGUUGAGUGGCUCCUGUUGAUUCAGGAUUUUGGUGGAUUAUUUUGCUUCGGGCCUAUACAAAGUCAAGCGGUGAUACUUCGUUGGCGGAAAUGCCUGAAAUCCAGAGGUGUAUUCGGCUUAUUAUGACGUUGUGUCUUUCUGAAGGGUUUGACACGUUCCCGAUGUUGCUAUGUGCUGACGGGUGUUGUAUGAUUGAUCGUAGAAUGGUUGGUACCGUUAACAGAUCUUGUCAUUUCAUGUUUGGGCUUGCUUGGUUUUUGUUAUUACGUCGAAACACCCGGACUGUGCAUGGGUAUAAAAUUAUUUGUACCUAAUGGAUAAGUAACCGGUUACAACAUGUGCCACAAUUCUAUGAAUUCUAUGAACUGAUGAUUCAUUUUCCCGCU